AGAAAUAUGUCUGAUAAAAGAGUUACUUUG
rnacentral:tRNA from 1 species